AUUUUCCGGUUGAUCCUGCCGGACCCAACUGCUAUCAGAGUGAGAUUAAGCCAUGCGAGUCAACGUAGCAAUACGUGGCACACGGCUCAGUAACACGUAGUCAACAUAACCAAAGGACGUGGAUAAACUCGGGAAACUGAGGCUAAACCGCGAUAGACCAAGAUUCCCGGAAUGGUUUUUGAUUAAAAUCUAUAUGGCCUUUGGAUUGGACUGCGACCGAUCAGGCUGUUGGUGAGGUAACGGCCCACCAAACCUGUAACCGGUACGGGCUCUGAGAGGAGGAGCCCGGAGAUGGGUACUGAGACAAGGACCCAGGCCCUAUGGGGCGCAGCAGGCGCGAAACCUCUGCAAUAGGCGAAAGCCUGACAGGGUUAUUCUGAGUGACUUUCGCUAAGAAAGUCUUUUGACACCUCUAAAAAUGGUGUAGAAUAAGGGGUGGGCAAGUCUGGUGUCAGCCGCCGCGGUAAUACCAGCACCCCGAGUGGUCGGGACGAUUAUUGGGCCUAAAGCAUCCGUAGCCGGUUUACAAGUCCUCCGUUAAAUCCAACUGCUUAACAGAUGGGCCGCGGAGGAUACUAUAAGACUAGGAGGCAGGAGAGGCAAGCGGUACUCAGUGGGUAGGGGUAAAAUCCGUUGAUCCAUUGAAGACCACCAGUGGCGAAGGCGGCUUGCCAGAAUGCGCUCGACGGUGAGGGAUGAAAGCUGGGGGAGCAAACCGGAUUAGAUACCCGGGUAGUCCCAGCUGUAAACGAUGCAGACUCGGUGAUGGACUAGCUUCAUGCUAGUCCAGUGCCGCAGGGAAGCCGUUAAGUCUGCCGCCUGGGUAGUACGGUCGCAAGACUGAAACUUAAAGGAAUUGGCGGGAAU
rnacentral:rRNA from 1 species